CGUUAAUCGGAAUACUGGGCGUAAAGCGUGCGCAGGCGGUUUUGUAAGACAGUGGUGAAAUCCCCGGGCUCAACCUGGGAACUGCCAUUGUGACUGCAAGGCUAGAGUGCGGCAGAGGGGGAUGGAAUUCCGCGUGUAGCAGUGAAAUGCGUAGAUAUGCGGAGGAACACCGAUGGCGAAGGCAAUCCCCUGGGCCUGCACUGACGCUCAUGCACGAAAGCGUGGGGAGCAAACAGGAUUAGAUACCCUGGUAGUCAAGGGCG
rnacentral:rRNA from 1 species